GGACACCUUUAACGGCGAACGGUAAAUUUCCCUAUAGAUCUCAGGUGCGCGUAUAGUCCUUUGGGAGCAUGGCUCGCGUAUUAUACCGCAAGGACGCUUAAGUGGCACGUUAAACUCGGUGGCAGUCUUAAACACAUUUAAGAAGGUUUGUUUUAUGCUCUUUCGCCGAGGACUUACGCCAACUCCCCUUUUCUUCCUCCCAUCACUAUCCGUCGCC